CUCCAUAUACCCUUCUCACAACCAUACCUUUCCUCACUCUGUUACCAAGAGUAGAGAUAUUGGAAGGAGCUCGGAAAAUACCACUCCAGUAGAAAUCCCUGCUCACGAUACUAAGCACUGGCGUUUUUGGCUAACUCAGCCAAUCAGCACAAGUCCAGAGACAGUGGCAGAACUGUGCAAAAAGUAAAGUGGUCUUGAUUUGAAAAGCCAGAAGAGCAGUGUGUGUAAGGCUGGAGUCAGAUUGGAGUCAGGCUGGAGUCAGGCUGGAGUCAGGCUGGAGUCAGGCUGGAGUCAGGCUGGAGUCAGGCCGGAGUCAGACAGUAGUAGCUCUUCAGGUUACUACAGAUUUAUACACACAAGUAAUACAAAUCUAUUCUUUAAAAAGACAAGGACUGAAGUAGGACAUCUCAAUUACUGAAGUAGCCAAUGAAUUAGCUAAUUUAAAAUCAGGUCAAAAUAUGAGUAUAAUAUACAUUUAAAAUUCUGCAAUUUUGUAUAGUUAUUGUUAUUGAGAGAGAAUGGUAACUGGGUAGGGCUCAAGAAAACCCAGUUACUACACAAUGCACAGUGGUUGGGUGGGGCUGUAGGAAACCCAUUACUACAGAAUGUACGGAGGGUGGGUGAGGGUGUGUGUGUGAAUCACAG
ensembl:lncRNA